AUGACAAAUAGAGAGCAAGAAGAGAAAAGUACACCUGGGGAGGUAGGGACAGGGACAGGGGAGAGAAGGAGAGAGGCAGCCUCCAUAAAAGAAGCAGUUUCCAGAAACAGAAGCUUGAGACAUUUCCAGUAUACGUCCUUUGCUGAGAAUCAACACUACCCUUAAAUCUGAGUUAUCCCAUGAACCCUUUUAUCUGUUUUUUGUUCAAGCUGACUGAAGUUGUUUUAUGUUAAUUGCAGCCAAAUAUUCCUGAAUCAUGGGAUGAGAGAGAGAGAAAGAGAAUUGUAUAAGAAACCAGAGAGAAAUAAAGUACUAAUUUGAUGCUGACUUAACUGGCAGCCUUUACAAAAGAAAGAAAAAUAAUAGACCGGAUAAUACUUCUCACCUCAUACAAGGCAGAAAGAUGUUUUGGGAGAAGUAGAGAAUUCAAGACAACAUUUGAGUAAGCAUGUGAAAAUGCCUCUCAAUUCUUUCAGGUCAUCAUUUGCUGGCCCUGGUCCUUUACUUUGCUGUCUUGUUUAUAGAGUUAUUCCCUCUAGUACGAAAUAUGAAGCCCUCUACAAGUCAUAGUGGAUUUGGAAUAAAACUCUUGGAUUCAAUUCUUUGCUCCUAACAAUCUGGUUGAUUUUGGACAGAUUAUUUAACUGGCCUCUGUUUAUUCAAAUGGAAAAUGGGGAGAAUAAUCUAUUUUCUUUAGCUAUUAUGAGAAUGAAAUAGACAAUACAUAGAUAGCAGUGUUCAUGGAAAGAUUAAUAUAUAAAUAUCAAACUGCAUUUGCUCAAUUAGUAUUAGCUAUUAUCAGGAGUAUGUUAGCAUCAGGAAUAGCUAAUCUUAUCUUUUAUUAAGGUGAUAUGAAUCAAUCAGAGACAAGACUGGAAACAAAUGGGGAAAUUGAGGAAAGUUAUAACAAAGGGAGUAUUUACAAAGAUAUCUGAGGUUGAGGGAAAUCCACAGGGAGGAUGAAGCAGCCUGGUGCUAACUACAGCAUAAAGUUGUUACCAGCCUAGGUUUAAAUGAGCAAGAUAAGACAGUGGCUACAGAAAGUCAGAACUGUAGGAUAGGACUAACUGGCAAGAGUUAUGGCCUUUGGAAGAGGAAACAAGCCACUGCCAAAACACAUUCGGCAGGGAGACGACCAAGGGAAUUAAUAGGUGACCUCACUCUCCUCCCACCCUCUGAGCAUCAGCUGAUGCCCCCAUGGGCUGAACCCAACUCAAAGUCAGAGGACAAAGGAGACUGGAUGAAGGCUACAAAAGUCAUCCUCUCGAGGAAGAGAACAGGGUGUAUAAUGGGGAAGAAUGGAUCUGGAGGUGCCAAAGGCAUCUAUCCAGCCCAGCUACCUGAUUUGUUCCUCAGCAUCCACCCCUGUCAUUUUCCCCAGUGAAAAUCAUAUGAGCGUAACAAAGAGAACCACAAAAUCCAUUCAGCAGUCAUCAUGAGUGAUGUUAAUUUUGGC
rnacentral:lncRNA from 1 species